rnacentral:rRNA from 1 species
UUAGCGGCAGCUACACAUGCAGUCGAGCGGUAGCACAGAGAGCUUGCUCUCGGGUGACGAGCGGCGGACGGGUGAGUAAUGUCUGGGAAACUGCCUGAUGGAGGGGGAUAACUACUGGAAACGGUAGCUAAUACCGCAUAACGUCGCAAGACCAAAGUGGGGGACCUUCGGGCCUCAUGCCAUCAGAUGUGCCCAGAUGGGAUUAGCUAGUAGGUGGGGUAAUGGCUCACCUAGGCGACGAUCCCUAGCUGGUCUGAGAGGAUGACCAGCCACACUGGAACUGAGACACGGUCCAGACUCCUACGGGAGGCAGCAGUGGGGAAUAUUGCACAAUGGGCGCAAGCCUGAUGCAGCCAUGCCGCGUGUAUGAAGAAGGCCUUCGGGUUGUAAAGUACUUUCAGCGAGGAGGAAGGCGUUAAGGUUAAUAACCUUAGCGAUUGACGUUACUCGCAGAAGAAGCACCGGCUAACUCCGUGCCAGCAGCCGCGGUAAUACGGAGGGUGCAAGCGUUAAUCGGAAUUACUGGGCGUAAAGCGCACGCAGGCGGUCUGUCAAGUCGGAUGUGAAAUCCCCGGGCUCAACCUGGGAACUGCAUUCGAAACUGGCAGGCUAGAGUCUUGUAGAGGGGGGUAGAAUUCCAGGUGUAGCGGUGAAAUGCGUAGAGAUCUGGAGGAAUACCGGUGGCGAAGGCGGCCCCCUGGACAAAGACUGACGCUCAGGUGCGAAAGCGUGGGGAGCAAACAGGAUUAGAUACCCUGGUAGUCCACGCCGUAAACGAUGUCGACUUGGAGGUUGUGCCCUUGAGGCGUGGCUUCCGGAGCUAACGCGUUAAGUCGACCGCCUGGGGAGUACGGCCGCAAGGUUAAAACUCAAAUGAAUUGACGGGGGCCCGCACAAGCGGUGGAGCAUGUGGUUUAAUUCGAUGCAACGCGAAGAACCUUACCUACUCUUGACAUCCAGAGAACUUAGCAGAGAUGCUUUGGUGCCUUCGGGAACUCUGAGACAGGUGCUGCAUGGCUGUCGUCAGCUCGUGUUGUGAAAUGUUGGGUUAAGUCCCGCAACGAGCGCAACCCUUAUCCUUUGUUGCCAGCGGUCCGGCCGGGAACUCAAAGGAGACUGCCAGUGAUAAACUGGAGGAAGGUGGGGAUGACGUCAAGUCAUCAUGGCCCUUACGAGUAGGGCUACACACGUGCUACAAUGGCAUAUACAAAGAGAAGCGACCUCGCGAGAGCAAGCGGACCUCAUAAAGUAUGUCGUAGUCCGGAUUGGAGUCUGCAACUCGACUCCAUGAAGUCGGAAUCGCUAGUAAUCGUAGAUCAGAAUGCUACGGUGAAUACGUUCCCGGGCCUUGUACACACCGCCCGUCACACCAUGGGAGUGGGUUGCAAAAGAAGUAGGUAGCUUAACCUUCGGGAGGGCGCUACCACUU